rnacentral:rRNA from 1 species
UGGGGAAUAUUGACAAUGGGCGAAAGCCUGAUCCAGCCAUGCCGCGUGUGUGAAGAAGGUCUUCGGAUUGUAAAGCACUUUAAGUUGGGAGGAAGGGCAGUAAGCGAAUACCUUGCUGUUUUGACGUUACCGACAGAAUAAGCACCGGCUAACUCUGUGCCAGCAGCCGCGGUAAUACAGAGGGUGCAAGCGUUAAUCGGAAUUACUGGGCGUAAAGCGCGCGUAGGUGGUUCGUUAAGUUGAAUGUGAAAGCCCCGGGCUCAACCUGGGAACUGCAUCCAAAACUGGCGAGCUAGAGUAGGGCAGAGGGUGGUGGAAUUUCCUGUGUAGCGGUGAAAUGCGUAGAUAUAGGAAGGAACACCAGUGGCGAAGGCGACCACCUGGGCUCAUACUGACACUGAGGUGCGAAAGCGUGGGGAGCAAACAGG